GUGCUUGCUUCGGCAGCACAUAUACUAAAAUUGGAACGAUACAGAUAAGAUUAGCAUGGCCCCUGCAUAAGGAUGACACACAAAUUUGUGAAGCAUUCCAUAUUUUU
ensembl:snRNA U6 U6 spliceosomal RNA